rnacentral:misc_RNA from 1 species
GUGAAUCAUCGAAUCUUUGAACGCACAUUGCGCCCCCUGGUAUUCCGGGGGGCACACCUGUUCGAGCGCCAUUUCAACCCUCAAGCCCUGCUUGGUGAUGGGCCCCGCCUACUGGGCGGGCCCGAAACUCGUGGGCGUCGUCGUUCGGCUUCAAGCGUAGCAAAACCCUCGCUUGGGCUCCCGGACGGAGACUGCCCGGAACGAAUUUUCUACAAGGUUGGCCUCGGAUCAGGUGGGGAUACCCGCUGAACUUAAGCAUAUCAAUAAGCGGAGGA